rnacentral:misc_RNA from 1 species
GUUUGGCCUCCUACAACAAAUGUCUAAUGGUGAUAUGUUAAAUAAAAUAUGAUUUAAUGCAUUUUGAAUGUUUGAAAAGGACCAACAAGAGGCAAAUGGUCAAAUGGAUGGAGAAAAAUUUGGAAUAAUAUGAUUACCAGUUCUUAAAGGAGAAUUAGAUCUAGACAGGGUUGGAUUGCGAGUAGUGGUAUAUGCAGCCAGUGGCACUCAUGUGAAUAAGGCUUCAUAAAGUUGAGUGUCUUUCUCAUUGCUUCUGUGCGUCCGUAUCAGAACCACAUGAAUAAUACUUUGUGUCACUUAGUAUAAAAUUCUCUGUUGAGGAAAGCUGAGUAGCA